AAUCACUGAAUGAUCGUCAGUUUCUUGCUGAUUAUAUCACACUAUUCAUGAACCUCGGAUUUUGUAGUCAUCCAGACUGGAGUAUGGAGAAUAAAGAUAUCAACAUAGUAGCAACAUGUUACAUAACUUGUAAUGCUGCUGAACAUAGCAUUACUUCAUUGACCAAAUACAUGGAGAAUGAAUCGGGAUUAAUGUGUAGUGACUAUAUACUACCAUAAUGUAUCAGAUUUUCUAUCUGACAGCUCAUGGCAUAUAACAUCAAAUACCACCUGUUGCAACCUUAAAUCAUGGACACUAAAUACAUGAAAAACACAUAGGAACAAUGAAGACUUAACAGUUACUGUGUUCAUAAACACUGGAACACAUCAGUGGAAUCAAACUCUAGAAGACCACUAGUAAUCCAAAAGAUUCAUACCUGGGUACAUCAUCAAGGAGCCUUAUUGUUACUAACUUUUAUGCAGGACAUGUCAUUAUCAAAUUUCUUGUGUGAUAAAAUGUAAAAUCUAUCACUGCCGAUUGUGUUCAUAAUGUGCAAGAGGAAUUGGUCCAAUGUUUUCAUCGAAAAACACAUGAACAUUCUAACUUGUGAGAAACUUGAAGACUAUCAAAAGGAUAACUAUGAAAGAAAAUUUCAUUCAUGGAAAAAGAACUGUGUGAAUUAAGAUCAGAAUUAACAUUUCCUAGUAAUUGUUUUCAGUAAGAUUAUCAGCUCCACUUUUUAUAGAAGAAAAAAUGAAUGUUAUAUUCAUUCGGUAUGACUGACCUGUUGGUGUUGUUGAUUUUCAUUAUACAAUACUUACAAAUCUAUUACAUCAAAACUUUAUAUGUGGAAUCCAGGGUGAUAAGUUCAACCUGGACCCCUCAUUUUCAGGUCAAAGGGUCAAAGUCACUGGGACUUGUGGUAACCAAACAUAAAACUAGCCAUUUAAUAGUCAUUAACUGAGGAACAUCAGACUUUGACAAAUUGUAUGUACCAGAUUUAACCAUGAUGAGUUGUACCUGCCAUGAUACUCAUUUUGGGUCAAAAGGUCAUGGUGAUGGUUCACAAUGACCUGUGUUGAUAUUUUUAAUAAGAUUUUUAAGGUCAAGAACACAGUUAUGAAAUGUGGGCACAGCCAGCUUAGUCAAAGUCAAGGUUGAUGUGAUUUUAUUCAAAUUAUCUAUUUUUGUAGAAAAUAUGAAGUUUACUAUCCAGAUAAGCACUGAGAAAACUGGAAUGCACUGCUCUUCUGACAGCUCAAUCUUACUUGUUGUUUUUUUUGCUAUCCUUGAACUAUUCAUGAAAAUUGUUUGGAAUUUGUGAGCAUUUGAAUGAAAUUUUCUGUAUAAUUAGAACAGUCAAAACUGCAGAACUGGAGAUAUGAGCCGCAUCAUGACAAAACCAACAUAAUGGGUUUGCAUCCGCGCAGUCUGAUGCGCAGGCUGGUCUGGAUCCAUGCUUGUCGCAAACCCAUUAUGUUGGUUUUGUCAUGACACGGCUCAUAUAAGCUUGCAUACCUCUUAAUGUUCUAAACUACUAUGCCGGCAGCUUUCAGUAUGUCUAAAAACAUUAAUCUGCAGUGCAAGCACUAUCAUAAUGUCAAAAAUAGAAAGCAUUGGCUAUAUACUUGGUCACAGCUUCUGAAAUAUGUAUUUUCUUCUAACAUGUAUGUGUGAUGUCAAAAAAAACUGUUCAUGUAAAGUUUUACAUUUGAUAAUGCAAUUAAAAGGGAAUAAAUAAUUAAAAAA